ACAUGCUUCUUUAUAUCCCCAUAUGGAUUAGGCUGCUAUGGAAUGUAAGGAAGUGUGUGG
rnacentral:pre_miRNA from 2 species